UGGGGGGUACGAGAGGGCCGCUACCACGCGAGUGGAUGCCCAAACUCCCCAAAACCUCUCUCAGUUCGGACUGGAGUCUGCAACCCGACUCCACGAAGCUGGAUUCGCUAGUAAUCGCGCAUCAGCCACGGCGCGGUGAAUACGUUCCCGGGCCUUGUACACACCGCCCGUCAAGCCAUGGGAGCCGGGGGUACCUGAAGUGCGUAACCGCGAGGAGCGCCCUAGGGUAAAACUGGUGACUGGGGCUAAGUCGUAACAAGGUAAC
rnacentral:rRNA from 1 species